rnacentral:rRNA from 1 species
UACGUAGGGCGCAAGCGUUAUCCGGAAUUAUUGGGCGUAAAGAGCUCGUAGGCGGUUUGUCGCGUCUGCCGUGAAAGUCCGGGGCUCAACUCCGGAUCUGCGGUGGGUACGGGCAGACUAGAGUGAUGUAGGGGAGACUGGAAUUCCUGGUGUAGCGGUGAAAUGCGUAGAUAUCGGAAGGAACACCAGUGGCGAAAGCGAGUGACUGGCGCGUUCCUGACGCUGAGGUGCGAAAGCUAGGGGAGCAAACAGG